AUGGCCAAUUUUGGAGGCGACAAGGAGGAGGAAGGGUGGAGAGGGAGGAAGGAGGAAGGAGGAGAGGUACCUGGGCGGGCGCGGCCGGUCGCCGGAGGGGUCGGGGUUGGGGUUGGUGCCGGGGUCGGCGGCGGCGGCGGCGUCGAAGGGAUGCCUCGGUUGGUCGUGGGGAGGCCGGCGGCCACGGUGAGGUCGCGGAGGCGUCGGCGAUGGAGGAGCUGCGGUGGUUUACAGAGAGGUGGGGUAGCUCACCUUCAGCUGCGAUGUGGAGAACCAGAAGUGGGCAGGUCUUCGGGAGGUGGAGCACCGGCGGUGGACGAACCGUGUGGAAGAGGACGGGUGGAGCACCAUCAUCGGACUUUUGGCCGUGGAGCGAUCGACGGGAGGUUGGGGUUGGCGGCGGCGCACGGGAUCAGGGCCGCCGCUCGUGGCGCCUGUCUUCACCUGCCAGGGCCGCCGCUCGGACGCCGGUCUUCACCGGCCAGGGCCACCGCUCGGGCGUCGGUCCUCGUUCUGAGGCGCGCGGCACGCAUCGAGACAAUUUCGGUCUUUGGUUUUUAUGCCCGGGGUGAGCAGGAGGACGCGCCCAUCGAAUCUGGCCGGAGGAGAUGGAGGAGCGGGCCGAGGGGAUCACGUGGGUGUGCUGGGCGCUGCCGGCGGCCGCCGGAUUCGGCCGGGAUCGACUGCCGUAGGUGGCAGCAGCGAGAGUCUCGUGGGACAGGGACAGAGGAGGUGACGAGGGGCUUGGUGAUAGUUCAGGGUAUGGAGUUCUGGGAUUUGGGUCCGUUUGGUGGAUCAAAAAAACACUUUGAGACUUGGCCUUCCGUCAUAACCGAAGCAGCAUGUUUCCACACGAAAAUUUGGGUCCGUUUGGUGGAUAAAAAAACACUUUCAGACUUGGCCUUCCGUCCUAACCGAAGCAGCACGUUUCCACAUGGUGUAUCUCUUGCCAUGCAUGACACGAUUCCAAAAUUUGGCAUCAUAACCAACCAAUCUUGCCGUCACCAUCACCACCACCGUCAUAUAUCUUCCUAUCAUCCUGCUGCGUCCGUCAGGCCUGCACAGUCAGUCACGAAGCAGUCCAAGUCACGUGCAUCGAAGCCCCCACCUUCAUCGACAAAGUUAGGUGCACCGAAGCCGCCACACUCGUCGGCAAAGAAGGGUACCCAGGUUGUAUCAAUGCACGGGUACUCGGAGUUUGUCCAGUCGCUAACCAAGGAACACACAUAUGAUUCACAAGUUGACGCGUUUGUGAUACACGGGGUACCUAUGAGAAUAACCUUGCAAGACGUAGAACACAUCACAGGCCUACCCAGCAUGGGGAGGGACUAUGUCCCUCCUCCGUUCAAAGAAGUGCAGGACUUAUGGCUUGAUUUAAAGGAUCCUGAAGAUAACAAACUGACCUUGAAAGGUCUUUGUAAGAAGAUGAUUGGCGAAGAGAGGCCAUGGUUUGUGAAGCCUUACGUCUUGUACACCAUUGGCAAGUUGACUUGGUUCUUUGAGAAAUUCCGAGUCGACCAUAUUGAUCGCACCAUUUCCUAUCUUCAACGAGAUAAACCAUUCAUACAAUACUGGGACGAAGAAAAGGCAGCAAAGGUCGACAAAAUAAUAUCGCAGAACUACGUAGGAGUAGGACAGGUCAAUGAGACACUAGGCCGCGUACUCGCCCAGGUGGGAGAGAUAAAAGCAAUAGUGUGUCAGCAAUAUUCGGAGAUUUCCGCAAAACUGGACGGAGUAGAAAGGCGCCAGCAGCAAAACAACAUGCGCUUGGAGGACUUCAUUUGUGCAUUCAAUGAUCAUUGGUUUGGAGUGGGACAGAAGGACUUUAAUGAGGGUCAGAGAGUUGAUAAUAAUAUCAAGAAAACCUCAAAGAAUGUUGCUGCUAGUACAAAUGAAGUGCCAAAGUGUGUCUACAGCAACCCCAACAAGAACCUUGCUGGGGAAUUUGGGAAGGAAAGGGUUUAUUUCAACCAUAUUCUUAACUUGAUGACAACAUUGCAGAAGGUGAAGAAAACAUAUGUACACCCCGAGAAGUCAAAGACUGAAAGAGACGAUAGCAAAAACAUACCCUCCGAAUCUGAGAAGGUCAUGCAUACGUCCAUGGAUGCCAUGGACUCCAUAGGGAGGCGUGUCAGACAUGACAGCCGGAAGAAAAAGAAGUCUUCACUCCUUCAGAGCGAGGAAUACGAAUUUUACACCCCCGCGCUCAGAAGGAAAAGAGCUCUAUCUCAAAAGACACAUGACAGUAACGAUGUUAUGUACACACAGAAUAAGAAGAUGAAUCCUGGGAAAAGCAGCGCCCAGCAGCUAAAACAGAAUAUAGUAGCUGACUAUGUAAACAGUACCCCUGUUACCGCCAAGUUGGUGAAGAUCAAGGACAUACUUCUAACGCAGAAGUAUCUUAAAUGCCUAACAACACCAGAUCAUUCCUCCUUUGUAGCUUGGGUGGAUGACGAUGUACUCGAUGCGGCGAUUGAACUCCUACGCCUAAACGGACUAGAAGGUGUACGAGACCAUGGUACCGUGUAUGUCGAAAGGUCGACCAUUGUCAACAUCCUAAAGAGAGAUGGCACAGUCACGAAUUGUACCUUGGAUGUUUUAAGCGGUAAAUCAAGCACUAAAUGGGGAGAUAACUACCUGAAACAUGACAUGAUUUUCCUACCUUCAAAUAUUCCCAACCACCACUGGUUCCUGGCUGUUGUCAACUCCCAAAAGAGGGAGAUUCAAAUUCUGGACUCACUCCAAUCACGCAACAACCGCAAAGAACUUCUUGGAAUGGAAACACAUAUUGAUAUAGCAGUGAUGGAAAAUGGAAUGCAAGGAAGUAGAUGGCCGGACACUCAAGUGGCUUCGUGGCCUAUCACAGACUAUGAAGUGCCACAGCAAAAAGAUGGUUGUUCCUGUGCUCUCUGGGUGUUGAAAUACAUCCAAUAUUGGACUGGAGUGAGAUUGUCGGCAAUAUUCAACCAGUUUAGAAGAUGGCUUGCUGCUGUGUUGAUCAAUUCACCUCACAAUGAGUUGAAAGUUCGGAAGGCCAUACCAGCAGUUGACUUAGAAGAUGAUUUAGAAGACGUCGACCUUGGAGGUGACAACGGACACAACGACAGCGGAGAUGUCUUAGGAGACGAUGGUUCCGCACUAUAG
rnacentral:rRNA from 1 species